CAUCAGUGAUCAAAAAUAGCCAAACAUGUGCAUCGGGAGACUCUCUGGUGGUUGUGGUACAUGAUCUGUAUGUGUUUCUGAGA